GUUGGACCUUUUCCAUAACAUUUUUUUAUUUAAAAAUGAUCCACCAAUUCCAUCACAAUUAGAUCCUCUCAUUGCAACUUAGAAAGAUUAUUUAUGACCAAAAAAGUUUAUAUAAUUGUCCACUUAAUUCUGGUAGUUGCAAUCAAAACCAAGUAGAGAGGAAACACAUGAAAAAGAAAGAAAGAAUGGUAACCCUGUAAUCAUUUCAAAUCAAAAUACCAACUCUUUUCUUUGCAUGAAAAAUUGUUUCUAAAGUAAAUCACAUUUUGCACCAUUCACUUUUAAUUGUAUCAUUAAAUCCCUUACACUUUAGGGUAAGAGUCAAUGUUACCAUUCCAUCUAUAUGUUGUUCAAUUAAUUGAUGAAAAGAGGUAUAGCCUUAUCGAAAGAGGCCAGGCCUAUGGCUCUUAAUUGUACGAAAGGUGGACAGAAAAAAUAUAUUAAUACUUGACUUAAAGUGUAACUGGUUGAAUGAUACAAUUAGAAGUGAAUGAUGGAAAAUAAAACUUAGCAGAAAGUGAAGUGGUGCAAAGUGGAUUUACUCUCGUUUUUAAGACAAUCCGAGCAAAAGCUAAUCGGUUGUUUACUGAUAGGGUGGAUGGAUGUUUUCUCAAUUUUUGCAAUAUUUUUUUUCUUUCCAAACCUAACUUUUCAGUUGGUAUAAUGAAUUCCAGCAUCUUAUUUAUAAAACAUUCAUUAAAAAAAGCAUACAAAUUAAGUAAGAAACAUAAAUAAACAAUUACGAUGACACAAGCCAACACUAGGAGUCAACUUGUUUUUUUAAGAGGAAACACAAACUCAGCCAAUAUCUAAAAUACUUCCGCGAUUCCACUUUAGUAGGCCUCAUUUAAGAUAAAUUGGAUUGCUUAAUAAAUUAUUUUUGUAUUUAGUGAAUUUUUUCAUCUUUCAGUCAAAUUUUUUUAUUUUUCUAGUUUGCUUUCUAUAAAGGAAUAGACUCCACAUGAACCUGUGAUUGUAAGGGACGUUAAACUUUCCUAAAUAUAACGAAAUAAACUCAAAUUAAUUAAUCCUUGACCACUCUAGUUUUUCCAAAAUUUCUAUUUCUCUCCCCUACUCAAAUCGGUAGGGUCCCCUCAAAUUUAACAUUGACAAUUUCACUCAAAUUUGAAUUUUCUCAGUGACGUGCUUCAUGUCAAAUAAAGUCUUUUACUCGAAAAUAAUUAAUCAGAGUGGAAGAUGACCUAAAACAAUCUGUUUAGUUUACAAAACAAUCAUAUUCUAAUAGCAAAAAGACUACAAGAGGCUAUGAAAAUGACAUAAGCAUCCUUCCAAACUAAACCCACACUACCUCUGGCUUGAAUUAUAGAAACAACAAACCUAUCAAAGGAAGUACGAACUAGUCAUACGUAAACAUAAACAACCUCAAUGACAUAAAGCCAACACUAGGUAACAUGGUGCAUAAAGACAGUUCAAUUUAUAGAUACACCUAAGGCAUCUUCAUAUAUACUACUAACAAUAAAUGCAAUUUCUUUGAUUGAGUCAUGUACGUCAUCAUCCUCAUAGUCGGCCUCCUCCUCCACCUCAUCACCACCACCACAGCAGUCUUCUUCAUUGCCCUCGUCGUCAUAGUUCUCUUCACCUAGCCCUCAUCAUCCUUAUAGUCGGCCUCCUCCUCCUCCUCCUCAUCAUCAUCAUCACCACCUAGUCUUCUUCAUUGCCCUCAUUCCCAUAGCCUUCUUCAUCGUCAUAGUUCCCUUAACCACCCCCAUAGUCUUCGCCGUUGUUUACCCCAUCAUCCUGAUAGCUUCUUCAAUGACCUCUUCACCAUCCCUGUAGUCCUCUACGUUGUCAGCACCAUCAUACUGAUAGUCUUCUUCAUUGUUCCCAUAGCCCUCUUCGUUGUUCUGAUACUCAUCCCUGUGGUUGUUUUCGUUGUUCUCAUAUUCGGGGGCGCUCAUUUGUCCGUUUGCCUCAUUUUCUGGGUACUCGAACUGAUUAUCACCAGGAAUAUUAUUGUCAUUAUCAGGAUCUAUUCCAUACUGUGCUUCAGCACUAGUAUUAAGCUGAUCAAUAUGGUUAUCUUGUGCUGGCUCAGUUGGAUUCUCAUGUGGGUUCGGGCUAUUUUCUGAAAGUGGCACUUGUACCUGUCCGGUAGCUACAAACUGGGCUCGAAAGACUGCCGCAUUUUGUGUUGAUUGUGGUGGCGGUCUUGGUCUUGGUGG
rnacentral:lncRNA from 1 species